rnacentral:rRNA from 1 species
UGGGGAAUAUUGGACAAUGGGCGAAAGCCUGAUCCAGCCAUGCCGCGUGUGUGAAGAAGGUCUUCGGUUUGUAAAGCACUUUAAGUUGGGAGGAAGGGCAGUAAGCGAAUACCUUGCUGUUUUGACGUUACCGACAGAAUAAGCACCGGCUAACUCUGUGCCAGCAGCCGCGGUAAUACAGAGGGUGCAAGCGUUAAUCGGAAUUACUGGGCGUAAAGCGCGCGUAGGUGGUUCGUUAAGUUGAAUGUGAAAGCCCCGGGCUCAACCCGGGAACUGCAUCCAAAACUGGCGAGCUAGAGUAGGGCAGAGGGUGGUGGAAUUUCCUGUGUAGCGGAGAAAUGCGUGGAUAUAGGAAGGAACACCAGUGGCGAAGGCGACCACCUGGGCUCAUACUGACACUGAGGUGCGAAAGCGUGGGGAGCAAACAGG